GAUGGGCCCGCGGUGCAUUAGCUAGUUGGUGGGGUAACGGCCCACCAAGGCGACGAUGCGUAGCUGGUCUGAGAGGAUGAUCAGCCACACUGGGACUGAGACACGGCCCAGACUCCUACGGGAGGCAGCAGCCAGGAAUCUUGGGCAAUGGGCGCAAGCCUGACCCAGCAACACCGUGUGGGCGAUGAAGGCCUUCGGGUCGUAAAGCCCUGUUGAUAGGGACGAAGGGCGAAGGGUUAAUAGCCCCUAGCCUGACGGUACCUUUCGAGGAAGCCCCGGCUAACUACGUGCCAGCAGCCGCGGUAAUACGUAGGGGGCGAGCGUUGUCCGGAUUUAUUGGGCGUAAAGAGCGUGUAGGCGGUUCGGUAAGUCUGCCGUGAAAACCUGAGGCUCAACCUCGGGCGUGCGGUGGAUACUGCCGGGCUAGAGGACGGUAGAGGCGAGUGGAAUUCCCGGUGUAGCGGUGAAAUGCGCAGAUAUCGGGAGGAACACCAGUAGCGAAGGCGGCUCGCUGGGCCGUUCCUGACGCUGAGACGCGAAAGCUAGGGGAGCGAACAGGAUUAGAUACCCUGGUAGUCCUAGCCGUAAACGAUGGACACUAGGUGU
rnacentral:rRNA from 1 species